rnacentral:rRNA from 1 species
GAUGAACGCUGGCGGCGUGCCUAAUACAUGCAAGUAGAACGCUGAAGGAAGGAGCUUGCUCUUUCCGGAUGAGUUGCGAACGGGUGAGUAACGCGUAGGUAACCUGCCUGGUAGCGGGGGAUAACUAUUGGAAACGAUAGCUAAUACCGCAUAACAGUAGAUGUUGCAUGAUAUCUACUUAAAAGGUGCAAUUGCACCACUACCAGAUGGACCUGCGUUGUAUUAGCUAGUUGGUGAGGUAACGGCUCACCAAGGCGACGAUACAUAGCCGACCUGAGAGGGUGAGCGGCCACACUGGGACGGAGACACGGCCCAGACGCCUACGGGAGGCAGCAGUAGGGAAUCUUCGGCAAUGGACGGAAAUCUGACCGAGCAACGCCGCGUGAGUGAAGAAGGGUUUCGGAUCGUAAAGCUCUGUUGUAAGAGAAGAACGAGUGUGAGAGUGGAAAGUUCACACUGUGACGGUAUCUUACCAGAAAGGGACGGCUAACUACGUG